rnacentral:misc_RNA from 1 species
GAUGAAGAACGUAGCGAAAUGCGAUAAGUAAUGUGAAUUGCAGAAUUUAGUGAAUCAUCGAAUGUUUGAACGCACAUUGCGCCCCCUGGUAUUCCGGGGGGCAUGCCUGUCCGAGCGUCAUUGCUGCCCUCAAGCCCGGCUUGUGUGUUGGGUCUCGUCCCCCUUCCCGGGGGGACGGGCCCGAAAGGCAGCGGCGGCACCGCGUCCGGUCCUCGAGCGUAUGGGGCUUUGUCACCCGCUCUGUAGGCCCGGCCGGCGCUUGCCGAUCAACCAAAACUUUUUUCCAGGUUGACCUCGGAUCAGGUAGGGAUACCCGCUGAACUUAAGCAUAUCAAUAAGCGGAGGA